rnacentral:lncRNA from 1 species
GGGUGCCUAGAGGUUUGAUGUCAGCCCUACAGGCUCGUAGAUUGCUCAGGAGAGGUUAUCAGAGGGUUUCUAGCUCUUGCUGAGAGUUUAGUAGUCAGGUCAGGGAACCAGCCUCAGUGUCUGUUGUUUGAGAGAGAGUUCUUAGAAGUUUUCCCAGGCGAGCUGUCAGGUUUACCACUUGCUAGAGAGUUAGAGUUUGGAAUAGGAGUGGUGUCUGGACCCAGAACCAUUUCUAUUCUU